GAGAGUUUGAUCCUGGCUCAGGACGAACGCUGGCGGCGCGCCUAACACAUGCAAGUCGAACGAGCGAGAGAGAGCUUGCUUUCUCGAACGAGUGGCGAACGGGUGAGUAACGCGUGAGGAACCUGCCUCAAAGAGGGGGACAACAGUUGGAAACGACUGCUAAUACCGCAUAAGCCCACGACCCGGCAUCGGGUUGAGGGAAAAGGAGCAAUCCGCUUUGAGAUGGCCUCGCGUCCGAUUAGCUAGUUGGUGAGGUAACGGCCCACCAAGGCAACGAUCGGUAGCCGGACUGAGAGGUUGAACGGCCACAUUGGGACUGAGACACGGCCCAGACUCCUACGGGAGGCAGUAGUGGGGAAUAUUGCACAAUGGGGGAAACCCUGAUGCAGCGACGCCGCGUGGAGGAAGAAGGUCUUCGGAUUGUAAACUCCUGUUGUUGAGGAAGAUAAUGACGGUACUCAACAAGGAAGUGACGGCUAACUACGUGCCAGCAGCCGCGGUAAAACGUAGGUCACAAGCGUUGUCCGGAAUUACUGGGUGUAAAGGGAGCGCAGGCGGGAAGACAAGUUGGAAGUGAAAUCCAUGGGCUCAACCCAUGAACUGCUUUCAAAACUGUUUUUCUUGAGAAGUGCAGAGGUAGGCGGAAUUCCCGGUGUAGCGGUGGAAUGCGUAGAUAUCGGGAGGAACACCAGUGGCGAAGGCGGCCUACUGGGCACCAACUGACGCUGAGGCUCGAAAGUGUGGGUAGCAAACAGGAUUAGAUACCCUGGUAGUCCACACCGUAAACGAUGAUUACUAGGUGUUGGAGGAUUGACCCCUUCAGUGCCGCAGUUAACACAAUAAGUAAUCCACCUGGGGAGUACGACCGCAAGGUUGAAACUCAAAGGAAUUGACGGGGGCCCGCACAAGCAGUGGAGUAUGUGGUUUAAUUCGACGCAACGCGAAGAACCUUACCAAGUCUUGACAUCCUGCGACGGUGCUGGAAACAGUACUUUCCUUCGGGACGCAGAGACAGGUGGUGCAUGGUUGUCGUCAGCUCGUGUCGUGAGAUGUUGGGUUAAGUCCCGCAACGAGCGCAACCCUUAUGGUCAGUUACUACGCAAGAGGACUCUGGCCAGACUGCCGUUGACAAAACGGAGGAAG
rnacentral:rRNA from 1 species